rnacentral:misc_RNA from 1 species
AAAAGCACAUCCUGCCUGCCCCCUUCUAAACAAAAAGAAAAACAACUCCUUCACUUGUGCAUCUUAGUUGGUUUUGCUUUCUCUUUGCACGCUGUAAAACUGCCGAUUGAGAUUCCUUACUGAUUCAUGUAAAUGUUUUUUUCGGGCCUCCGCCAAAUCCCCAUUUCCACUUUUCACCCGAAGACACGGGCCUCCUGUCUCACCAGCCCAUCACAGCAACUUCCAUCUCCCUCCAGCACUCACGCUCCUGCACGCAGUGUCGAACACGAGCGAAAAGCAACAACCAACACCUAGCAGGGCAAAAGCAUAAAGCGAGAUUCGGCCAGCCGAAAAAAAAAACAAAAAGAGAAAUCUGGUCCUCUCCGCUUCACGAAAACUCAAAAGAAUAAAGCAGAAUCUGCAUCGUCUCUCUCACGGCCCCCUCCCCCUUUCCCUGAGACUGCCGUUUAGCCCCCUCUGCAACUCCAGCCUCGCGGUGUUUCACUUCCAGUAAGGAAAGAAACAGAGAGCUCAAAGUGGUGAGACCUAUUUGUGGUACACCGACACACACACAAAAGAAAACAGAUUGUUUGGCUUGCCGAACAGUUCUUCGUUUGCCCCCCUUUUUUCACCAAGGAGGGUUGGUGAAGAACCACAACAAAAAGACGCAACUGCCGUAUUCUGUUGCUUCUGAUCCUUUCCCUCUUUCGCGCUUCCUUCUUGCACGAACAAAAAGUUUCCUUCACCUCUUUCUAGGUGCUUAUCAUUUGUUUUCGUUUUUUUUUUGUUUUGCUGUUCUUGUUUCAUUUCUGUAUUUCACUCUCACUGAGGGGGUCCAACAACAACAGCCAAAAGUAGGAAAAAAAGAACGUUGGUGCUCCUCUGGUGAAAGUGCUUCCAGUGCAAUCCGUGCUCUUUCCUUUUUUUUUUUGCAUCCCUCCUCGACUCAUUGUGUGCAUUUGUGGGUUUAUAUCUCUCUUUCUCCUCGUACUUUUUUUCUUUAAUCAUUCUCGGUUUCUCUUUGCCGCCCCCGCACCCCCCCCUCCUCUAAACCCGAAAAGCAGUAAAGAGGAGAUAAGUUGUCCAGACCGGGGUGUGGCGUAAAUAGACUAACGACAUCAAACUGCUUUGUGCCGGUCUCGUAUGCAUUUUUCGUAGGGUUUUCUUCCUCAGUAGUUGCUUUUUUUUGUGGCUUCCCACACUCCCCCUCCCACACACUUUUUUGUUGCAGGCGCUUCGCCACCUCCUUUCAUUCGGUGUCAGCCCGCGCUUUAUCAGCCUCCCUCCCCCUAAAGCCACCAACGGCCCGCGUCUCGUUCCUGUGUCCAUUUUCUCUUCACAAAUUUUUCUUGCUCGCACCCCGCAGCCCAGUACUUGGAGGCUUCCGCCAUGACCGCCAAGUUCGACCACCUGGACAAGUCCACCUACCCAAAUGGCCGCAAUAAGAAGCAGCCCAUUGUCUCCAUCAUUUCGCCAUCGCUGAUGGUGGCGGACCAGACAAAGCUGCUGCAGGAGUCGCUGGACGUGCUGUCUGAUAAGGGUGGCAGCGCUGAUUGGCUUCACGUGGACAUUGUGGACGGCCACUUGGCGCCGAACUUCAGCUUCUCCCCCGCUACAGUUUCGGACCUGCGCAAGCAUCUGCCGAACACGUUCCUGGACUGCCAUCUGAUUGUUCGCGACCCCAUCCGCUGGGUCGACUCCUUUGCGAAGGCUGGCGCGUCGACGUUCGUGUUCCAUUACGAGGCCACCGAGAACCCUGUCGCCGUCUGCCGCAAGGUACGCGAGGCCGGCAUGGUCGCUGGAAUCGCUCUUGCCCCCAACACGCCGGCGGAAGUGCUGUUCCCCAUCAUCGAUGCUGGCGAGGUCGACAUGGCCCUUGUCAUGUGUGUGCAGAUCGGGCUUGCCGGGCAGCGGUUCCAGAUCGAGACGGUGGAUAAGGUGCGCCAGCUGCGCCAGCGCUAUCCUCACCUCCUGAUCCAGGUGGACGGCUCCAUCACAUUGGACACGAUUGACCUCGUCGCUGCUGCCGGCGCGAACGCCAUUGUGCCUGGCCGCGCUGCCUUCAAGUCGAAUGACCGCAAGGGCAGCAUGGAGAGGCUCCGCGGCAGCAUCCAGAAGCACAUCGCACAGCGUGCUGCGAGCCGUCUGUAGCGACGCUUUGCGCAGCACCAUUGCCCCAACGCUUCGGUGGGAGCGUGGAGGUGUGCGCCCGCCAGCUGCCCCGCUACUUGCUGACUCUGCAAAAAUCUCUUGACUCUACGUGGCUUCAUUCUCUCUCGUCCCCCCUGCUCUCCAGGACGAGGUUGCAGCGGCUACGGCCUGGCUUUGCUGCGACGACCCUACCCGGCGGAUGCACUUCACGCCGGGCUACACACCUGAGAGUGACGCUGGUGGCACGGGAAGCUCUCGAUCAGACAUCAAGCGGCGUUGCACCCACUCCUCAGGCUAUGGGAACAGACACCAACUCGCGCCGCCGGGGUGUGCGGCGGGAAACGGCGGCUCAACCGGGCUGGAACCCUCCGUCCUCGCCCCCGCGCGAUGGGCCCGAGGGCAAACACCUGGCGCCCGCGAGCGGUGGGGGAGGGCAUGCGGCGGACGUAUCUGGGCACAAGUGCUGGCGCUGCCGGCCCGUCGCGUGCGCCUCUCAUUUCAGUCUGCCUGUGGCCAUUGCGGAUGGGCGCACCACGGCGAGGUUGGCAGGCUUGCCGGAUCGGCAGUGGCAGAGGAGCCGGCGCCGACUGCGUGGAUCACGCGCCUGGUCGCCGGCCUCAGACGCCAGGCCGACAUCGCCCGAAACCGCGAUACACGAUGCGGCACGCUGAGACAAGAGGUGCUUGGCGGCAGCCGUCCCACACCAGAGGAGCAGGGAUGCUGAGCUCACGGUACGACGGGCGGCCAUCCUCGCACAGGUCCGCGCGGGCACCCCGUCCAUGCACUGGGGAUCGCUGCAGCGGCGGGCGCCUGGCAGCGACGAGGCGGAGCGCGGAUGGCGUGCUGCCCGCUGCUCCGCUGGUGUUGCGGCGCCCCCCGCCCCCGCCAGAGCCUCCACCCCCGCCGGUGCUGGCCAUGAGGGCGUCCGGCCCGGCGUGGUGCCCGGUAUGCUGCGCGAGAUUCGCGGAUCGCCCGACGCUCGAAGCACACCUCGCCUCACGCGGUGAGCGUGCACGUCACCCCGGCACGUCCCCGUGGCAGCGACGGGGACGGAGAAGACGAAGAGAGCGAGUCCGUUCCCCUCCCCAGGCAACAGCGCCGUCCUGAAGCAGGCCCCGUGGCCCGAAUAUGCGAGCGCUGUGCGCACGCGCUGCCCACCGUUGCUGGCUUGGUGCGCCACAUCGAAAGAAAGAGUGCAGAGGUGAGAGAGCAAGAGUGAUGGACGGAAGGGGCGCGAAGAAGUCCCAUAGCAGUGAGCCCCACAGCGCAUGUGUGCAUAGCAUGCGGCAUCUUCGGCAUCUGUCCAGGGCUGCACUGAUGAGGCACAGAUGCCGGAAGCAUCACGAGAGCAGCCCGAGCUGCACCAUCCGGGCCCUCCCGACUCCCCAUGCGGAGGGUCUCCAUAUUAUGGGAUGCCGCGGCGUGAAGCGACCGAGGGCGAAGCAUGGCACGCAGGCAGGGGGUGCGCAGGGCCACCGAGGGCCCUGACCUGAGGCUGGCCAACGUCCUCCUCGAGCUCAUCCGGCAUGUCACCUUGACCACUCCCCUAUUACCCGCACGACAGACGCCACCGCCUCCGCCCUCGAGCAGGAGCAUGGGCGCGGCCCGCGUUGGAUCAGGCCAUGCAGCUCACCCAUGUCCGUGGGACGCCCGAUGCGAAGGCAGGCGGCUCGUCCUAGACGCCCAGGAUGCAGCUGUAACCCCCCCCCUACAGAGACGGGUGAGCUGUGGUUGUAUGCGUCUAUUUUUGUCACUUGCUCGCGGCAGAAUGGCACUGUGAAAUCGAAACCAAUGUGCUACAUUCAAUGUUUUGUGUUUUCAGUGACGGGCUGUACCUCCCCGUGUGUGAUCUGGGUCCGAGCGCCCCCACUCUGCAUGGAUGCCGAACCACCCCCACUGCCCUAUCCCUGCCAACGCGGCGCCACUGAUGGUGGCGACAGGGUCCAGCGCCCACGACGUGGCGUGGCGUCGGGGCGACCUGCGAGGCGGGUGGUGGGCAGAGUUCGAGGCCGCGGCCGUGCUCAUGUGACUGAGUCGGCGCAUUGCUGUGACGCGCGUGUGUAGCGCUGCUUCGAGCAACGAGGUGUGGGGCCUGCGGCAGCCCGGGGUCGAGUGGAGCUCGACUUGUGUUGUGUGGCAGAAUGGGCGUGUUCUAAGUUCUCUACGUGUUGCUUCAUCAUGUGAGACAGUGGUGCCCGGUCAAUGGGUAAUUUUGGUCGUGUGUCUGUACAGCAUUCGAGAUAGGCAGUCAAGAACAUUUUUUACGGCAUCUCAGCCAGGCUUUCUGGCUGCUUUUGUGCGCGAAAACGCUCGUGCGCGUCACAACGGAUUCGUCUUUACAUUGUGGGCCACCUAUACAAGAGGGCAAAUACUUUAUUCAUCGAUGAUGACGCCUCCUAAGCGAGCAGCCACAUGGAUGCGACGGUGGUGGUGAAGCCAAUGCUCGUAGAGGUGUUGACGGUGGCUCCGAUGAGGUGACGCGGGUUUUGCUCACCGUCGCCACUGAAGGUGUGAACUCCUAGGACGACAACAUCCACUACAGGAGAUGCAAACUAUUCUGUGGUGGCCAGACUGAGGGGCGCGACCCCCUUGCCGGACGUGUCGCUUGAUGAAAAGAUCUGAAGCUACAUUUUUCUACAGCGAAGGGCCAGGGGUACGAGCUGCCGAUCAUCGAGAGAAAGGCGAGGGGGGGGGAACCACCGAAAGGACUGGUCCACCUUCGCUAGAGCCGCUGCUUCCAUCCUGCCAAAGGACUUCGGAAAGAAGCUCAGAGGCCCAGGGCUGCAGGGGAUGUACCUUAUUUCGCAUGACGCUCUGCCAGUGAUCUCCUGCAUGAAUACCCCCGUGUCUCGCGGCGUGGCUUCUGCUCGAUGCCAUCCGCUCCGCCGUGCUCGGUACCCACAAGGCGCGCCCGCAGAAGCCGGCAAGCCACUAUCUGGAGCUAGACCGCGGCAGCGGCAGCGACAAGAUGAGGCUCACGAAGCAGGAGCUGCUCCUCGAGGCCAAGCAAUGCGGAGUGAACCUGGGGAUCUAUUCGUCUCUCAUCUUUCUUUCGGCCCUUGCACAAGGUGCCGGAAAACAGGGGGUGUCACCAUGUGUAGCACUGGCGAAAUAAGCGAUGGAAAGGCAUUAAAGGAAGAUGGAAGAGUCAAAAGGGAUCCAGAGGGACGGUGGCUUGCGCGCACGCAUGUGACCGGUUUUCUUGCGGACACUGUUUCUCCUUUUCCCCCUCUCUCGCCCUUGUUCUCUUUCCCGCUUACUUCGCGGCUUCGAAUCCGCCGCUCUUCUUUAUUCUGCGACUUUCACGUUCGCGGCUGCGCAGAGGGUUCUGGUGAUGGAGGGCUGCCCUGUGCCGAGGCACGCGUGGAGAGGGAGGGAGAGUGGAGGGGGUGGGGUGGUGGUGAUGGGGAGGGACGCACUCGAAAGAAACGAACAAAAGGAUUCAUCGGAACGAUUUCACCUUUUUUAUUUUUAUUUUGUUUCGCGUAUUCGAAACGUUUUAUAUGUCGGGAAAAGGCAACGUCGCACGCGCGCAUGAGCGACUAAUAAUAAUAGUUCCUCUUCUGCUCCUCGGUGGGGGCAGAUUCUGCGGCUUCUCUCCACUCCCUCCUGUCUUCCCCGCUGUCCGGCCUUUCACCCCUUUUUGCGGAUGUGUGUGUGUGUGUGCAUGUAUAUGUGCUUUGUUUUGUUUUGGCGUUCUGCUACACCUCCUCUUAUUGAUUUUUUUUUUCUUGAUUGGCCAUCUCAAACAUUGGACAGCAGGUGGUUGCUGAUUGCGGAUGGAUGCUUGUGCGUGCGUCUGUUGGCGUUUCGUACGCGAGUCCUCUCGCUCUUAAAAGAAAAGAACGCCACUUGGUCUCGCACGCAACACGCAACCGAAAACAGGCAAACACACACACACACGCACGAGCCCAGGGACGAGAUCACCAGCGUCAUGUGGUCUCUACAUGCUGUUGAGUGUUGUUCUUGGACACUUUGUCUUCCUUCAUCGACGAUUUCGCGAUCGGUUUGCAGCUCGCUGAGUUGAAGGGGAAGGCCAACGCAAAUUCGACGAAACAAACUUCGAACGCCUGUGACGGCGUUGGUGGUGGAAGUUACUUGAUGUGUCUGCUGAGGAACUGGUGAGGGACGCGCGAUACACGGCGCAUGAAGUAGUUGACGAGUUUGCCGGAAACGGUGUGGAAGUUCAAAAGGCUUUUGAAAGAAGCGAUACAGCG